rnacentral:rRNA from 1 species
GGCUCAGAAUGAACGCUGGCGGCGUGCCUAACACAUGCAAGUCGGAUGUGCCGCAAGGUGCAUGGCAGACGGGUGAGUAACGCGUAGGGAAUCUACCUUUUUGUGGGGAAUAACGCUCCGAAAGGAGUGGUAAUACCGCAUGAGACCGUGAGCUGGGAUGCUUACGGUGAAACCUGGGGACCGCAAGGCCUGGGGCAAAAAGAGGAUCCUGCGUCUGAUUAGCUAGUUGGCGGGGUAAUGACCCACCAAGGCGACGAUCAGUAGCCGGCCUGAGAGGGUGAUCGGCCACACUGGAACUGAGACACGGUCCAGACUCCUACGGGAGGCAGCAGUGGGGAAUUUUGCGCAAUGGACGAAAGUCUGACGCAGCAACGCCGCGUGGGUGAUGAAGGUCUUCGGACUGUAAAACCCUGUCGUCAGGGACGAAGGUUGAGGGGUUAAUAACCCUUUAGCUUGACGGUACCUGGAGAGGAAGCCCCGGCUAACUCUGUGCCAGCAGCCGCGGUAAUACAGAGGGGGCAAGCGUUAUUCGGAAUUAUUGGGCGUAAAGGGCGCGUAGGCGGUUUGUUAAGUCAGAUGUGUAAUCCCCGAGCUCAACUUGGGAACUGCAUCUGAGACUGGCAGGCUAGAGUACUGGAGAGGGUGGUGGAAUUCCUCGUGUAGCGGUGAAAUGCGUAGAGAUGAGGAGGAACACCAGUGGCGAAGGCGGCCACCUGGACAGUAACUGACGCUGAGGCGCGAAAGUGUGGGUAGCAAACAGGAUUAGAUACCCUGGUAGUCCACGCUGUAAACGAUGAACACUUGGUGUGGAGGGAGUUGACCCCUUCCGUGCCGGAGCUAACGCGUUAAGUGUUCCGCCUGGGGAGUACGGUCCGCAGGCUGAAACUC